rnacentral:rRNA from 1 species
AUUGAACGCUGGCGGCAGGCCUAACACAUGCAAGUCGAACGAGUGGCGGACGGGUGAGUAAUGUCUGGGAAACUGCCCGAUGGAGUGGGAUAACUACUGGAAACGGUAGCUAAUACCGCAUACCAUCUGAUGUGCCCAGAUGGGUUUAGCUAGUCGGUGGGGUAACGGCUCACCUAGGCGACGAUCCCUAGCUGGCAGGAGAGGAUGACCAGCCACACGGGAACUGAGACACGGUCCAGACACCGACGGGAGGCAGAAGUGGGGAAUAUUGCACAAUGGGAGCAAGCAUGAUACAGCCAUGCCGCGUGUAUGAAGAAGGCCUUAGGGUUGUAAAGUACUUUCAGCGAGGAGGCGUUACUCGCAGAAGAAGCACCGGCUAACUCCGUGCAAGCCGCCGCGGUAAUUC